UCUUCCCUCCUUUCCCUUCAAGCUUUUAACGGGGUUUAACACAACCUGCUCAGGGGCCGGCGCUUCGCCUGGGCUUUGCCCCAUCCAUCCCGUUGGGCGGAGGCCGAGGAAAGCCUCUACCCAAGAAUCCCGGUCCUGCCCUGUGUGUAAACGCUGACGGGUUUCACCAGGAUUUAUCCCAACUUGGCAGGUACUUGACCCCGGAGUUUAACUUGAGCUCCGUAGAAUCGGGAACCUCACUUUAUGAAAACAUUUUAGGCCCAUAUAACACUGUAUAAAUAUCGUGGGUUAAUAGUUUGAUCAUAUCAACUGUUUAAAGACUUUUUUUCCCCCCCUCCUGAUUUAAUAAGGGGAGGAGGGAUGGCUGCUUUCCCAAUGAUUUCCAAGCAGCUGGAAACAGUGGUUUAUGUUUAGCCCUUUGCUUGCUAACAAUCCACAGGUGAAUAUUUGAUUUCUGUCAUAACUGAAAUUUGUAAAAAUCUAGGACUUUUCUUCACACUAAAAAUAGCCAACACAUGCUAGUGAAGGGUUUGUAACAGUCUUAACUUGCCCGAGUACUCUUAAGUCCAGGCUUGGCAGUAUUAGUGAAAUGAGUGUCAGAAGGUGUUGUGGAAAGCUUGCUAGUCACCUUCCUCACUUCAUGUGUCCAGCAAAGGAGAAAUACAGGAGGAAUAAUUUGCAUUCAAUUGAGACUUCGUUAGGAAAAUCACUGUGCUCCGUUUCAUGCUUCUAGGGCUGUGAUCCUGAAAGUGUUAUGGGCAUUAGUAGGCGCUGUGGCAGAUUUGCUGCUAUCAGGCUGUUCUGUUUAACUCCUUUCUUCAUUCUGCCUGGCUGCAGUAUGUUCAGAAGCUUUUUCCUUCGCCAGUUGUCAUCUUGCAUGCCAGGCCUGAAGUACGUGAGCUCUUCACUAACACAACCCUUUCAUUGAGCAAUUAUGUCUGUCAGCUUUUCUUAUAUAAAUUAUUUUCUUUCCGUUAUUUAGGUUUCAAAAUCACUUGAAUGUAUUGAAGAGAAAAAAUGAUGGAAGCUACUUGACUUAGUAUACUAAGUGGGGGAAGUUCACAAAUGGCCAAAACUUGGCAUCUACUACUAAUUGAUUUUUGGAUUAUUAAAAAAAAAAAAAAAAAGACUGCUUGCCACUUGCUUAUGAAAGUCCGAUUUAAGUGAUUGUGAUCAUUUUGUCCCAAGAACAGGUGGGCACAUGCCUGGGAAGGAAUUGUGGUGUGGAAGGAAGGUGGAAGGCUUCCUUCUAAACUGCAGUGUGAUCCCCUAUACUACUGGAGAAAGCAUGAAACUGUUUACAUUAGUGCUAGAAAUUAACACAUCACUUAGGUUUAUCCAUAGUUGCAGUCUAGGCCUUUUUUUACAUACUCUGUCUUUUCUCUAUUAUGAAACAGAGACUCCUUAGGAUGUAUGGACCAUUGAACAGCUGAGUAAAUUGUAUUUGUACACAUGUAUUUCAAGUACUAGUAACCACCAUAAGACCCCUGCAUUUAGUACAUUAUGUGAUUUUUUUUUUUUUUAUCAGCUUGCUUCAAUGAGAUCAACAUAUGCAGUAUUACUAGAAUACAUACAGUUUGCAGUUUGCUGCAGCUCCUGUGCUUUCCAUAUAUCUCACUCACAUCAUUGGAUCGUGGGUUCAAUCUCUCAGAAGAGUACAUUUCCCUGAACUCCUACUCUGACUUGGCACUGAAAUGGAAUGUGGGUUAGUUGUCUGGGAUGCUUCAUAUUUCAAAACUAAGGAAAAUUAUGGUUGACUUGGAUGCUCCCAGCAUUUGCCUUUCACUUAUGUUAUUCUGACCUGUUGUACUUUUUGCACUCAAGAAAUGUACUGUGAAAUUCUUAGAGACAAAUAUUUGGCCAUUCAGUUUUGAAAAUCUACCUAAAUGUAUUUUUCUUAAGGAACCCCUACAUAAAAUAAAAAUUCAAGUAAGCAA